AAAAAAAAGAAUUUUUUUUAAGUUUUAGAUAUAUGAUAUACUAAAAAAUUCUUAGAUUAUGUAUUGGCUGCCCCCCCAAUGCCAAAUAUAUAUUUUGUAUAUCUUUCACAACAUGCAAGAUAAAAUUAGAAAUGAUUUUCCUAUUGCUACAUUGUGGUAAAUUCAAUUCUUAUUUGAUUCUUUUAUACUUCCUUUUCUAAAUGGUUACCAAAAAUUGAGAAUAAAACUCCUAAUUAAAGAGAGUAUCUAAACCUAAAAGCAAGUUAUCAAAUAAAUUAAUGACGAACCAAUAAUUCCCAAAGAUCCUUGUUGAAUACCCACAUCUCCCUCACCACUUUUAUCCUAGCUACCAACAGCUCCCCAUAAACUCCUCGCCCUUUAGAGUAUUUCCACCAGUUGGGGCGACGGGUGUUUUUGGGGCCCCUCUUUGACUUUCUGCAAGUAAUCUCAAUUGCGGAGAAUGAGAAGGGGAGUGGUCCCUGUGCAGGGCCUCUCUAUUGAGCAACUAGUCUUCCACCGUUUUCUGGAAUGUUAUCUUGCAAUCAUUUGGAGUGGAGAAAGAGAAUCCAUAU
rnacentral:misc_RNA from 1 species